rnacentral:tRNA from 1 species
ACGCAGGGGGUCGCGGGUUCGAGUCCCGUCCAUUCCGCCAAUUGUUUUAUCUAUUCUAAUUCGGAGCGGUAGUUCAG